rnacentral:misc_RNA from 1 species
ACAAGGUUUCCGUAGGUGAACCUGCGGAAGGAUCAUUACCGAGUGAGGGUUUCUCUGAAGCCCAACCUCCCACCCGUGUAUACCGUACCCUGUUGCUUCGGCGGGCCCGCCUCACGGCCGCCGGGGGACCUCGCGUCCCCGGGCCCGCGCCCGCCGAAGACCCCAACACGAACACUGUCUGAAAAGUGCAGUCUGAGUCGAUUGUUACCAAUCAGUCAAAACUUUCAACAAUGGAUCUCUUGGUUCCGGCAUCGAUGAAGAACGCAGCGAAAUGCGAUAACUAAUGUGAAUUGCAGAAUUCAGUGAAUCAUCGAGUCUUUGAACGCACAUUGCGCCCCCUGGUAUUCCGGGGGGCAUGCCUGUCCGAGCGUCAUUGCUGCCCUCAAGCACGGCUUGUGUGUUGGGCCCCGUCCCCGGUACCCCCGGGGACGGGCCCGAAAGGCAGCGGCGGCACCGCGUCCGGUCCUCGAGCGUAUGGGGCUUUGUCACCCGCUCUGCAGGCCCGGCCGGCGCCAGCCGACCAACCCAACCAUUUUUUACAGGUUGACCUCGGAUCAGG